AGGGGUGUCGCCAAGAGGUUAAGGCAUCGGGCUUUGAUCCCGACAUCUGGAGUUCGAAUCUCUACACCCCUGCCA
rnacentral:tRNA from 1 species